AGAGUUUGAUCCUGGCUCAGGAUAAACGCUGGCGGCGUGCCUAACACAUGCAAGUCGAACGCCCUCACGCAAGUGAGGGAGUGGCGGACGGGUGAGGAACGCGUGGGUCAUCUACCUUGAGGUGAGGAAUACCGGCGAGAAAUCGCCGACAAGACCGCAUACGCUUCGUGAGAAGCAAAGUCGUAAGACGCCACAAGAUG
rnacentral:rRNA from 1 species